UCUGCUGUUAUGAAGCCACAUAGAUGGAGUUUUUAUUCAACAUUUUCUUUGAGCAAGUACUGUUGGGUCCUGCUGCUGAUCAGAUCCUUGCUCACCCUCUGCCAACCCACCAGAGUUCUCCAGGAAAUGAU